rnacentral:rRNA from 1 species
GGAGUUUGGACCGUGUCUCAGUUCCAAUGUGGGGGACCUUCCUCUCAGAACCCCUACUGAUCGUCGGCAUGGUGGGCCGUUACCCCGCCAUCUACCUAAUCAGACGCAUCCUCAUCCAUCGCCGAUAAAUCUUUACUUACUAGGAGAUGUCUCCAUGUAAGACCAUCAGGUAUUAAUCUUUCUUUCGAAAGGCUAUCCCUGAGCCAUGGGUAGAUUGGAUACGUGUUACGCACCCGUGCGCCGGUCGCCAUCUAUCAAAGCAAGCUUCGAUAAUGCUGCCCCUCGACUUGCAUGUGUUAAGCCUGUAGCUAGCGUUCAUC